GAUGAACGCUGGCGGCGUGCCUAAUACAUGCAAGUCGAGCGAACGGACGAGAAGCUUGCUUCUCUGAUGUUAGCGGCGGACGGGUGAGUAACACGUGGAUAACCUACCUAUAAGACUGGGAUAACUUCGGGAAACCGGAGCUAAUACCGGAUAAUAUUUUGAACCGCAUGGUUCAAAAGUGAAAGACGGUCUUGCUGUCACUUAUAGAUGGAUCCGCGCUGCAUUAGCUAGUUGGUAAGGUAACGGCUUACCAAGGCAACGAUGCAUAGCCGACCUGAGAGGGUGGUCGGCCACACGGGAACUGAGACACGGUCCAGACUCCUACGGGAGGACGCAGUAGGGAAUCUUCCGCGAAGGGCGAAAGCCUGACGGAGCAACGCCGCGUGAGUGAUGAAGGUCUUCGGAUCGUAAAACUCUGUUAUUAGGGAAGAACAUAUGUGUAAGUAACUGUGCACAUCUUGACGGUACCUAAUCAGAAAGCCACGGCUAACUACGUG
rnacentral:rRNA from 1 species